rnacentral:rRNA from 1 species
AUGUUGUCUAUGGAGAUUUUGCUCACUGGGCCUCCACUGAUGAAGGUAAUCCGGAAAGAGCAUCUCUUGCUACUAAUGAGAGUGCUCCAGACUGUUCUUGACUCUGGAGCAUCUAAGCAUGUUUCUAGUAAAUCCUGCGUGUUCGAGUCUUACAAUAAGCAUCCUCCCUCUCACACGGGCACCAUACAAACGGCUGAUGGCACAAAACUGCCUGUCAUAAGGGAGCGACAGACGAGCCAGACGGUUGGGACUGGCACCAGGCGUAGGGGGCUCUGGUGUACAUGGACCAAGAGGUGCAGCUGGACUUGGUGUGUGCUGCCACCAUGGAGGACAAGGAGAAGCAGGCGAUGA